CCAAGUCGAACCCCUGUUCGGGUUAGGGUUUGGUUUUAAUAAUUACAAGGAUUCGAAUAAUUCUAUUUACGAAAUACUCGAAGUAUAAUGGGUGAUUCUAUGUAUCGAAAUACUCGAACCAGCCCAUCCGGUGUCCAAGCAAGGUUUUGUAGAAAUUUCACAACAUCGACAAGCCUUCUAAUCAGUGCCCUUUAAAACUUACUCCCUUAUUUGAUGGAAUAGAAACACAAGACUUUUAAAUAGACAAAAGGGUUAAUAGCACAAAACAUCCCUAUAUUUGACACUUAUUGCGGAAAACGUCCCUACAUU
rnacentral:lncRNA from 1 species